GUGGGGAAUAUUCCGCAAUGGACGAAAGUCUGACGGAGCAACGCCGCGUGAGUGAUGAAGGUUUUCGGACUGUAAAGCUCUGUUGUUUAGGACGAAAGUGCCUGUUGCGAACAGUUACAGGUAUUGACGGUACUAAACGAGGAAGCCACGGCUAACUACGUGCCAGCAGCCGCGGUAAUACGUAGGUGGCAAGCGUUGUCCGGAAUUAUUGGGCGUAAAGAGCAUGUAGGCGGAGAUUUAAGUCUGUUGUGAAAAUGCGGGGCUCAACCCCGUAUUGCGAUGGAAACUGAAUUUCUUGAGUGCAGGAGAGGAAAGGGGAAUUCCCAGUGUAGCGGUGAAAUGCGUAGAUAUUGGGAGGAACACCAGUGGCGAAGGCGCCUUUCUGGACUGUGUCUGACGCUGAGAUGCGAAAGCCAGGGUAGCGAACGGGAUUAGAAACCCGGGUAGUCC
rnacentral:rRNA from 1 species